AUUGAACGCUGGCGGAAUGCUUUACACAUGCAAGUCGAACGGCAGCACGGGUGCUUGCACCUGGUGGCGAGUGGCGAACGGGUGAGUAAUACAUCGGAACGUACCCAGUCGUGGGGGAUAACGUAGCGAAAGUUACGCUAAUACCGCAUACGUCCUGAGGGAGAAAGCGGGGGACCGUAAGGCCUCGCGCGAUUGGAGCGGCCGGUGGCGGAUUAGCUAGUUGGGGGGGUAAAGGCCUACCAAGGCGACGAUCCGUAGCGGGGCUGAGAGGACGGCCCGCCACACUGGAACUGAGACACUGUCCAGACUCCUACGGGAGGCAGCAGUGGGGAAUUUUGGACAAUGGGCGAAAGCCUGAUCCAGCCAUUCCGCGUGAGUGAAGAAGGCCUUCGGGUUGUAAAGCUCUUUCGGCAGGGAAGAAACGGCUUGGGAUAAUACCCCGGGCUAAUGACGGUACCUGAAGAAGAAGCACCGGCUAACUACGUGCCAGCCGCCGCCGUAA
rnacentral:rRNA from 1 species